GAUGAACGCUAGCGAUAGGCCUAACACAUGCAAGUCGAGGGGCAGCGUAGAGUAGCAAUACUUUGAUGGCGACCGGCGCACGGGUGAGUAACACGUAUGCAACCUACCUACAUCAGGGGAAUAACCCGGAGAAAUUCGGACUAAUACCGCAUAAUACAGGGAUGCCGCAUGGCAAUAUUUGUUAAAGAUUUAUCGGAUGUAGAUGGGCAUGCGUUCCAUUAGCUGGUUGGUAAGGUAACGGCUUACCAAGGCAACGAUGGAUAGGGGAACUGAGAGGUUUGUCCCCCACACUGGGACUGAGACACGGACCAGACUCCUACGGGAGGCAGCAGUGAUGAAUAUUGGUCAAUGGACGAGAGUAUGAACCAGCCAAAUCGCGUGAAGGAAGACUGCCCUACGGGUUGUAACCUUAUUUUGUACAGGCAUAACAGACAUUCCGUGUAAUGUAUUGCAUGUACUGUAAGAAUAAGCAUCGGCUAACUCCGUGCCAGCCGCCGCGGUAA
rnacentral:rRNA from 1 species